AGAUUGAACGCUGGCGGCAUGCUUUACACAUGCAAGUCGAACGGCAGCACGGGGGCAACCCUGGUGGCGAGUGGCGAACGGGUGAGUAAUAUAUCGGAACGUACCCGGAAAUGGGGGAUAACGUAGCGAAAGUUACGCUAAUACCGCAUAUGCCCUGAGGGGGAAAGUGGGGGAUCCGCAAGGACCUCACGUUUUCGGAGCGGCCGAUAUCAGAUUAGCUAGUUGGUGGGGUAAAGGCCCACCAAGGCGACGAUCUGUAGCUGGUCUGAGAGGACGACCAGCCACACUGGAACUGAGACACGGUCCAGACUCCUACGGGAGGCAGCAGUGGGGAAUUUUGGACAAUGGGGGCAACCCUGAUCCAGCCAUGCCGCGUGAGUGAAGAAGGCCUUCGGGUUGUAAAGCUCUUUCAGCCGGAAAGAAAACGCACGGGUUAAUAACCUGUGUGGAUGACGGUACCGGAAGAAGAAGCACCGGCUAACUACGUGCCAGCAGCCGCGGUAAUACGUAGGGUGCGAGCGUUAAUCGGAAUUACUGGGCGUAAAGCGUGCGCAGGCGGUUUUGUAAGACAGAUGUGAAAUCCCCGGGCUUAGCUUGGGAACUGCAUUUGUGACUGCAAGACUAGAGUGCGGCAGAGGGGGGUAGAAUUCCACGUGUAGCAGUGAAAUGCGUAGAUAUGUGGAGGAAUACCGAUGGCGAAGGCAGCCCCCUGGGUCGACACUGACGCUCAUGCACGAAAGCGUGGGGAGCAAACAGGAUUAGAUACCCUGGUAGUCCUAGC
rnacentral:rRNA from 1 species